AUUAUUGAGAAAUAUAACGAAGAAGCCUGCGAGGCGGAAAAGCAGAUAGGGUAUAUCAAAAAUCAAAUAGCUGAAAUAGAAAACAGUAUAAAAAUUAAUAAUCAAUAUAAUUUAGAUGCAGAAGUAUCCAAGCUGUAUACAGAAAAUAUAAAACUUAAACAUCGAUUAUCUGUAUUAAAUCAGGCCAUAAAGGCAUGCUCGAAACCA